CCUACGGGAGGCUGCAGUCGAGAAUCUUUCGCAAUGGGGGAAACCCUGACGAAGCGACGCCGCGUGAGGGAUGAAGGCCUUCGGGUUGUAAACCUCUGUUGCAUAGGACGAAUUGUUUGGAGCUGAAUAAUCUCUAGACUUGACGGUACUAUGUGAGGAAGCCCCGGCUAAACUCGUGCCAGCAGCCGCGGUAAUACGAGUGGGGCUAGCGUUAUUCGGAUUUACUGGGUGUAAAGGGCGUGUAGGUGGUCAGGUAUGUUAGGUGUGAAAUCCCUCGGCUCACCCGAGGAACUGCGCCUAAAACCACUUGACUUGAGUAUUGGAGAGGAAAUCGGAAUUCCUGGUGUAGCGGUGAAAUGCGUAGAUAUCAGGAGGAACGCCGGUGGCGAAAGCGGAUUUCUGGACGAAUACUGACACUAACAGCGCGAAAGCCAGGGGAGCGAACGGGAUUAGAUACCCUUGUAGUC
rnacentral:rRNA from 1 species